rfam:Schistosoma curassoni strain Dakar, Senegal genome assembly, scaffold: SCTD_scaffold0000625
AUCCAGCUGAUGAGUCUGAAAUAGGACGAAACGCGAUUCAAACUGGAU